rnacentral:rRNA from 1 species
AGUUCGGUCCCUAUCCGUCGCAGGCGUAGGAAAUUUGAGAAGACCUGUCCUUAGUACGAGAGGACCGGGAUGGACGUACCUCUGGUGUACCAGUUGUCCUGCCAAGGGCAUGGCUGGGUAGCUAUGUACGGAAUGGAUAAGCGCUGAAAGCAUCUAAGCGCGAAGCCAACUUCAAGAUAAGAUUUCCCACCGCAAGGGUAAGACACCAGAAAGACUAUCUGGUUGAUAGGUCGAAGGUGUAAGUGCAGCAAUGUA